rnacentral:rRNA from 1 species
AUACUUAAGUAGUAAUAGAUAUAGGCUUGAAACUUAAAGAAUUUGGCGGUAUUUUAAUCUUUUCAGAGGAACCUGUUCUAUAAUCGAUAUUCCACGUUAAAUUUUACUAAAUUAUUUAUAUAUCGUUGUCGAAAGAAUAAAUUUUCUAAUAUUUUAAGGAAAAUAGAUGUCAAAUCAAGGUGUAGUUGAUGAUUUAGUAGAAAUGGGUUACAAUAAAUUUAUUUAGAAAAUUUUAGAAGGAGGAUUUGAAAGUAAAUUAAUUUUAAUAAAUUUAAUUGAUUAUAGUUCUAAGAUAUGU